rnacentral:ncRNA from 1 species
AUAAACGCGAAGAACGGGAACAGUAGUCGGUCGGAUCUGUCCAGAGAGCUGCGGGUGGUGCAACGCAGUCAGAGAAGCCAAUGAAACUCGCCCGGGAGCGGUGGAACUGAAUCGGUGUAGCGCUGCACUUUGAAUUAGGUUCUGACGGGUAGCCUCCGUGAUCGGGUUGUGCUGAGGAUAUACAGGAUCGAGGUUACAGUCAAUCCGGAGUUAUCAUCAGUGCUCUAAGCGGACAUUCAGCUAACAGCUGAGGUCAACAAGAGUGGUACCGCGACAAGCUACGGCCUGUCGUCUCUUAU